rnacentral:rRNA from 1 species
UACGUAGGGCGCGAGCGUUAAUCGGAAUUACUGGGCGUAAAGCGUGCGCAGGCGGCUUUGUAAGUCAGGUGUGAAAUCCCCGAGCUCAACUUGGGAACUGCGUUUGAAACUACAAGGCUAGAAUAUGUCAGAGGGGGGUAGAAUUCCACGUGCAGCAGUGUAAUGCGUAGAGAUGUGGAGGAAUACCAAUGGCGAAGGCAGCCCCCUGGGAUAAUAUUGACGCUCAUGCACGAAAGCGUGGGGAGCAAACAGG